rnacentral:rRNA from 1 species
AUUGAACGCUGGCGGAAUGCUUUACACAUGCAAGUCGAACGGCAGCACGGGGCAACCUGGUGGCGAGUGGCGAACGGGUGAGUAAUACAUCGGAACGUGCCCAAUCGUGGGGGAUAACGUAGCGAAAGUUACGCUAAUACCGCAUACGAUCUACGGAUGAAAGCGGGGGAUCGCAAGACCUCGCGCGAGUGGAGCGGCCGAUGUCAGAUUAGGUAGUUGGUGGGGUAAAGGCUCACCAAGCCAACGAUCUGUAGCUGGUCUGAGAGGACGACCAGCCACACUGGAACUGAGACACGGUCCAGACUCCUACGGGAGGCAGCAGUGGGGAAUUUUGGACAAUGGGCGCAAGCCUGAUCCAGCCAUUCCGCGUGCAGGAUGAAGGCCUUCGGUUGUAACUGUCUUUUGUACGGAACGAACGGCGAGCUCUAAUACUAGUUUGCUAAUGACGGUACCGUAAGAAUAAGCACCGGACUAACUACGUGCCAGCACGCCGCGGUAACG